rnacentral:rRNA from 1 species
CCUACGGGGCGCAGCAGUGGGGAAUAUUGCACAAUGGGGGAAACCCUGAUGCAGCAACGCCGCGUGAGUGAAGAAGUAUUUCGAUAUGUAAAGCUCUAUCCGCAGGGAAGAAGAUGACGGUACCUGAGUAAGAAGCCCCGGCUAACUACGUGCCAGCAGCCGCGGUAAUACGUAGGGGGCAAGCGUUAUCCGGAUUUACUGGGUGUAAAGGGAGCGUAGACGGCAUAGCAAGUCUGAAGUGAAAGCCCAAGGCUCAACCAUG